rnacentral:rRNA from 1 species
CGACGAGUUUGAUCCUGGCUCAGAUUGAACGCUGGCGGCAGGCUUAACACAUGCAAGUCGAGCGGGGAAAGGUAGCUUGCUACCUGACCUAGCGGCGGACGGGUGAGUAAUGCUUAGGAAUCUGCCUAUUAGUGGGGACAACAUUCCGAAAGGAAUGCUAAUACCGCAUACGCCCUACGGGGAAAGCAGGGGAUCUUCGGACCUUGCGCUAAUAGAUGAGCCUAAGUCAGAUUAGCUAGUUGGUGGGUAAAGGCCUACCAAGGCGACGAUCUGUAGCGGGUCUGAGAGGAUGAUCCGCCACACUGGGACUGAGACACGGCCCAGACUCCUACGGGG